rnacentral:lncRNA from 1 species
CCGACCCUCUUGGUAUCUAUAAAACUGCUAAACUCAAAUGAAGACUGUAUAUAAAAUUCCAGGUAGGAAGCUGCCCUAGGAGAGCCGCAGCUCUGCUAUAUCCUGGAUGCCAUCCUGUUUUUGUAUGGUAUUGUCCUUACCCUGCUCUACUGUCGACUCAAGGUAAGGCAGGGUGGGGUGGUCUAAGAACCAGACCCAGAAGUGGGAGGGAGGAUGUGGGGAGAGGAGGCAAGAAGGGGAACCAGAGGGGUUCCCCAUGAUUUGCAGGGAAAGGAGAUGGGCCUCCAACUUCUCCUUUGCUGAUUGCCUUUCCCCCACUCCAGAUCCAGGUCCGAAAGGCAGACAUAGCCAGCCGUGAGGUAUGGAGUCUCCCACAUCUGCACACCAAUGUUUCUUUUCAAGCUCUCAACCUUCCCAGGGCAUUAGCCUGGGGUCUGAUGCCUCAGGGAAGUCUCGUGUCUUAGGUGUUAAUCUGCACCCUGCCCCUUGCCUCAGGAUGGGUAACAACCUGCAGCUGAGCUGCAAAUAAAAUAUCCAGACAGGAAAUAAUCAAGUACAGGCGUGUGGGUUUCCCGCCUUUGUGGACUGUUAGCUAAUUUGGUCCACGAAGGCAAAGGGAGCAGAUAUGUUGUUGGAAGCCCUGUGAGUAUUGAAUGACCACACUGGUACCCACUGUCAGUAGGCAGAUCAACUUUAUUUAGGGUGAUUCAAGGCU